AGCACUAUUUUUAAACCUAUUGAUGGAAAACCUCACCAUCCUAGGUUACGCUAUGGUGCAAAAUAAUUUCUUGGCUCUCCUAGCACAGCUGACUGUUCCUUUAUACUGAUGCUGUGGUGGAGUUAAAGAAACAUU
rnacentral:snoRNA from 13 species